rnacentral:lncRNA from 1 species
AUGCUCUUACCCGGGCCUGCAACCUCAUCCGUUGCAAUGUUUAUGGCUGUUGCAAUCUGGGGUUCCUCCACUGGGACCGUUUUGCCAUUGUACUCCAAGUAGAGCUCUGGCCUUGGACUUGCAUGGUUCUGCAACCUGAUUAUGAGAGGUACCCUGGUGCAAAUGCCCUGGCUACGAGGAAGGUUAACACCAGCCAAGGAUUCAAGAACACUAGACUUGCCUGAUGACUGGUCUCCAACCACAACAAUUGUGGGGAGCUGUAUGCCUUCUUUCAUCACCAUGAGCAGCCUGAGCCUGUCGAUGACGUCAAGCAAAGGUCGGAUUUUGUCAUUGUAUGAUGAAAUAAUUGGGGCUUGAACUGCUGCUGCUCCCACCACCUUAGGUUCUUCCAUAGAAGGAGUUGCUGGUUGAGAAUCUUCAUAAUCAUUGAUGACACCAAUGGUCCCUGAAUCAGCUUCAUCAUAGCUUCCCAUUUUCUAGAAGUCGAGACAGGACGGGAAUUGGCCAAACUUGAUGUUUUAGAUGGUUUUUUUUGUUGGAAGUUGGAAAGCAAUAAACUUGAACUAAAGUGAAGACAAAUUCAAUGAAGCAUGUUUGGCUUUAUAAUGAAAAUUAAAAUAGGGUAAAGCACCAAAAAUAGGAACAAUAAAGCGAUAGCAUCCUAUACCAAACCCCAAGAAACAAGCAAAGGAAGCUAUAAUGGGAAUGGAAAACUUUAGGUUAUACUUUGAAUUGUAGAAAAUAAUGAUACAAGGACAGAAGAGAGGAAACAGAACAAAAUCAAAUCGUGACCGACCAAAAGAUGAGUGUGUCGAUGACAGAAAGUUCGAAACAUAAACAGCACCACUAGUUCCUACAGGAACUAGACAGCAGAACUAUAUGAAACAAUGUAUUCACAUUGAAGUUUCGGAGAGAUGCCACGUACAAGCCAUGUUGCCAUUAACUCAUAUGCUCUUUGUGCCAAAUGAGCUCCAUCCCAACUAAGCCGUUCAUUAGGGUUUUCGCAUACCGGUACUUUUGGAUCUCCGCACCAACUUAAUAAGCCAGAAUUGUAGUCCCCAAUUCCGCAGCAAGCUUUUUGCAAUGAUGUUGGAUCAAAACCUGAUGAGAUUUUUCGAAAACUCAGAACAUGACUAGAACCAUUCACAGUACGAUCUCAUAAACUUCUGGAUGCAAAUAAAUCAGACUUACCAAGCAGAUCAGCUUUGCUCAAAAGCCACAGGAAUGCAUUGUAGUAGUAACCGUAGACAACGAUUACAUCUUGAUGUUUUUCUUUUAGCUCAGCAAUAGCUUGUUGAAGAAGAUGACUAUGAUAGAUUGAAAAAUUAUUCUAACUCCUUUAAAAUUAUAUAUUUUAAUUUUAGCCUAAAAAAAAAAAUCUUGACUUGGUCCCUUUCGGGCAAAUUACACAUAAAAGCAUUAUUUUUUUAAAAUUUACGGAAAUAAGCUCGGUAUUUUAUUAUUUACUGGAAUGAGUCAUUUUCCCCAAAAUCGCGUCUACGUUAGCGCGAUGUCAGGGGACGUCAGCAAAUCGCGCCUCAAAAAAAAAAUCUUGACUUGGUCCCUUUCGGGCAAAUUACACAUAAAAGCCUUUUUUUUUUAAAUUUACCGAAAUAGGCCCGGUAUUUAUUAUUUACCGGAAUGGGCUAUUUUUCCCAAAAUUGCUUCUACAUCAGCGCGAUGUCAAGGGACGUCAGAAAAUCGCGUCCUCGUAGGCACAAUUUGCUGACGUGGAAGCAAAUCGCGCUAACGUGGACGCGAUUUGCGCCGCACGUGAACAGUACCCUCCGGUCAAAAAAUUGACCGUUUAUGUUUUUUAGCUUGGAAAACUUUGAAAUGCCAUAACUUUUCGCUCGGUUGUUCGAUUGAGAUGAUUUUUUUUAUUUCGAAUAACUUUUCGAGAUCUACGCGCUGACGGUUGAGACGAUUGAGGCGGUUUGCCGCAGUUUUCGUCGAAAAAGAUCCUUUUUUACCUCUAAAUUUUUAUUUUUUUCGGUUUAAAAUUAAAUUUUGAAACAUUCAAAUCAUUAUUUUCCUUAUUUAUUUGAAGUAAACACCGGAUUUUUUUUACAAAAUUAUUGUAUUAUUUUUUCUGAUUUGACACGUGUAUGGAAUAGGUCCGAUAAAUCAUUAAAACGUAAGUAAUAUAAUUAAGAUAAUAACAGUAUUUUUAUAAUAUGUUAAUUAAUUAGUUUAGCUUAGUUGGUUAAUAUGCUUGCUUUUUUCCUUUAGUACCUUGGUUCAAAUCUUGUUGGUAAUAAUUUUGAAUCUUUUUUGUACUUGUUGCAUUUAUUUUUUUAAUCAAUUAACUCUUCAAUAUUACAUUAAUAUAUAUUAUUAGUACAAUAAUAUAGACAGAUUGACAAUUUGAGCUACAAUAUUAUGAAUAUUAACUACAAUACAUAAUUUGAGCUACAUAUUACAGUAAUACAUAUUGGGCAAAAUACCAAAAAACCCUAUUUUUUUAAAAUUUACCGAAAUGGGCCCGAUAUUUUAUUAUUUAUCGAAAUGGGUCAUUUUCCCCGAAAUCGCGUCCACGUCAGCGCGAUGUCAUGGGACGUGUCAGAAAAUCGCGUCCUCGUAGGCGCGAUUUGUGUUCACAUAAGCAAAGCGCGCUGACGUGGACGCGAUUUUCUAACACGUCCCCUGAUAUCGCGCUGACGUGGACGCGAUUUAAGGGAAAAUGGCCUAUUCCGGUAAAUAAUAAAAUACCGGGUCCAUUUCGGUAAAUUUAAAAAAAAUAGGGUUUUUUUGGUAUUUUACUCGUCCCUUUCGCAUACCUACUCUAAGACAAAAAAAAUCAUUUUAUUUAAGCUUUUUGUUUAUUAAUAAUUUUUUUUUCAAUGUGAUUCAUUAAAUACAAUUAAAAAUAUUUGGAAGAGAAAUCUAGUCGUAGACUAGAUAGUUAAGAUAAUAUCUAACAGAGAGGUCGAUGUUCGAGUGUUUGUUGAAGUUCUUACGUAACUUUUAACAAUUUUACUGAUAACACUCUAGAAUACGUAUUUUUAUAUAUUAAUUAUGUAUUUAUUCUAAGAAUGAUGCUACUAAUUUGAGCUAUUUAUGAUCUUUUAUCUCAUAAGGACUAAAUUUGAGGUAAAAACAAAAUUAAUGGCCAAGAACGUGAAUUUAGAGAUACAAUAGGCCAAUGUGCUACACAAGAAAAAGUUGUUGCCAAAAGUGCAAGUGUGGAGGACACAAGGGUUGAGAUGCAAAAAGAAGAGAUUUUAUUCUAUCAGACUCUAUUUUAAUUAUAUUAGGAUAAUUAAUAUUAAGAUAAUUAUUAAAGAUUAUUUAAUUUUAGGAUUUAAUUUUAUUUAUCUUUAUUUAUCUUUAAUUAAAUGUAUUUAUCGUUUGGCAAUUUAAGUAGGAUUAGACUAUCUCCCCUAGCACUAUAAAUAGGGGUGAAGUGAGUCAAAAGAGGAUCCAUCUUUUUUGUAAACACUCUCUCCUCAAAAGUCUAGGCUUUUGUUCUUCUCAUAUUUCAUUUAAAUAAAAUCUCAAUUUUUAUUUAUUUUCUUUUCUACCACAAUCAUGAGCCACUAAACCUAUCUAGCCAAAGGUUGUCGAAAAUCUCCAAAAUAGUUUAUGAGGCUUAGAAUUCGUACUUAGCUUUCUCAAUGAGUGUUCAUCGUUUCUCUGCACUACGAGACUGACGCUUUCGUCGAUGUCCCUUAAGAAGUAAGCUUUUCAAUGUAUGCAAAGGUGGCCACUUUGUAUGUUUUGGGAAAGUUGCACAGUCGGUUUGUAAAAUAGGGUAAAGCACCAAAAAUAGGAACAAUAAAGCGAUAGCAUCCUAUACCAAACCCCAAGAAACAAUCAAAGGAAGCUACAAUGGGAAUGGAAAACUUUAGGUUAUACUUUGAAUUGUAGAAAAUACAUCUUAUAUUCCGUAUUGGAUUGUAGAAAAUAAUGAUACAAGGACAGAAGAGAGGAAACAGAUCAAAAUCAAAUCGUGACCAACCAAAAGAUGAGUGUGUGGAUGACAGAAAGUUCAAAACAUAAACAGCCCCACUAAUUCCUACAGGAACUAGACAGCAGAACUAUAUGAAACAAUGUAUUCACAUUGAAGUUUCGGAUAGAUGUCACGUACAAGCCAUGUUGCCAUUAACUCAUAUGCUCUUUGUGUCAAAUGAACUCCAUCCCAACUAAGCCGUUCAUUAGGGUUUUCGCAUACCGGUACUUUUGGAUCUCCGCACCAACUUGAUAAGCCAUAAUUGUAGUCUCCCCCAAUUCCGCAGCAAGCCUUUUGCAAUGAUAUUGGAUCAAAACCUAAUGAGAUUUUUCGAAAACUCAGAACAUGACUAGAACCAUUCACAGUACGGUCUCAUAAACUUAUGGAUGCAAAUAAAUCAGACUUACCAAGCAAUCAGCUUUGCUCAAAAGCCACAGGAAUGCAUUGUAGUAGUCACCGUAGACAACGGUUUCAUCUGGAUGUUCUUCUUUUAGCUCAGCAAUAGCUUGUUGAAGAAGAUAAUUAUGAUAGAUUGAAAAAUUAUUCAACUCCUUUAAACAAUGAAGUUCAUCAUAAGCAGUAGAAUCAUCUGUUUGGUAUUUGGUGAGAUAUACAGGAAAGCAGCCUAUGGGGAAGUUUCCAGGAACAACUAACCGAGUAGCACCAUAUCCGAUAACUCUCUACACAGUGGAACUUAUGAGAAACAGGGUUUCAAUGAUUAGAAGUGAUAUAAUCAGAUGUCUCUUGAAAGAAAACUUACUUUGGUAGCUUGUUUUAUCGUUUCUACUACCUCGGGCACCAUGGUCUUAACCUCUUCUAUGGUUUUUCCUUGCCAAAAGGCGUAGUUAUAGUCAUUUCCUCCUAUCUCCCCAACCAUGAAAAGAGCUUUCCCAUUUUUCUUGAAGCAAUCUACCAAAUAUAACACCUCAAGUGGUUAUUUGUGUUAAUCCAUUCUGAACAUCGUUAUUAUACCUGAUUACCUAACCAGGAGGCCUCAUUAGACCAACCGCUCCAUCAUGGAGGUCUCGCCUGCAUGAUAGCUCAACCAACUAAAGACACUCAUGUGCCUUGUCACACGAGCCACCACAAGGUCAUAUCAAGAUCCACUCAGGACCUGCUCCUGUCACAUCUAGUACAGGCUCUAUCACUCGACCAUUAAGUCUACAAGAAUAAUCUAUCUUCAACCUCUGCUAGCAGCUCUUGACACUCACGUGUGAGCCACCUUCAACCUCUUCCACCACAUCCUAUAUCAACAAACAUAUAUAUAUGUUGUGCGGAAGCGUGUAAAAGAGUAAAAUUAUUGUAUUAAAAAAUCACACUAAGUUCAAUUCCCAGGAAAGAGAGGUGGAUCACAAGGAUCGCUUAAGUACCAGGUCUUUCCUAGCCAGAAUAUCCCUCAAUCGUAAUUUAAUAGCACAAUAAAUCACUACAAUCACACACACAAUUCAUGCAGAAUAAUACAAUAAAGAACACAAGAAUUUAACGAGGUUCAGCAAAUUUUGCCUACGUCCUCGGGCACUACCAAAUAUAUUUCACUCCAAAAUACAAGUGAGAAUUUACAAAGAGAGAGAGAGAAAACAAUGCCUUAAGUAGAGAAUGGCAAGUUUGAGAUACAGAAUGAGAGAUGGUUAUGCCUAUUUAUAGUUGAGGUUCAGGGAUCAACUUGCAAAGUCACUUUACAAUUAGGGACCAUAUAUUACAAAUAUCUCAGAUUUUAUUAUGCCAAUAUCUCGAUACCCAUAUCUUUGACUUUCCAAUAUUUGAUACCCAUAUCUUUGACUUAUUAUUUGAUACCCAUAUCUUUGAUUUUCCAUAAAUAUGGAUAAUUCCCAAUAAUCUCCACCUUGAAGAUUUGAUUCGAGUAAUCUUAUCUUCACACAAUUCUCUCUGCCUUUGUCAACAACACUUGAUAGUGCCUUCUUCAACUGUUAAACAUGCAGAAUAUUGAUCAAGUUCAAACAAUGUUCGAACUUGAUUGUUGUUACCACCUUGGUCAUCAUAUCUGCGGGAUUAUCUGCAGUCUUAAUCUUCUGAAGGUGAAUUUUCCCCUCAUCAAUAAUUUCCCGCACAAAGUGGAAACGUACGUCGAUAUGCUUUGUACGUGCAUGAUAGACUUGAUUCUUUGCUAAAUGAAUAGCACUUUGACUAUCACAAUACACAUUAAUAUGCUCCUGGACCAAUCCCAAGGUUUUAACCAUACCUUGUAACCAAAUAGCUUCCUUUACAGCCUCUGUUACAGCCAUGUAUUCAGCUUCUGUGGUUGACAACGCAACUGUAGACUGCAGUGUAGACUUCCAACUUAUUGGUCCUCCAGCAAGAGUAAACACAUAACCAGUGGUUGAUCUUCGUUUGUCCAAAUCACCGGCAUAAUCAGAAUCAACGUACCCAACAACACCUUUACCAAGUGUAGUAUCCUGCUUGAACAGUAAUCCAAUAUCCAUGGUCUUAUGAAUAUACCGUAGAAUCCAUUUCACAGCUUGCCAAUGUCCUUUUCCAGGAUUAUGCAUAUACCUGCUCACUAUACUAACUGCUUGUGAAAUGUCGGGUCUUGUACACACCAUUGCAUACAUCAAGCUACCUACUGUAUUAGAAUACGGAACUUGUAACAUGUAUUCUUGUUCCGUAUUUGUCGAAGGAGAUAGUUGAGCAGAAAGCUUGAAAUGAGAAGCCAACGGAGUACUUACAGCUUUAGUCUGCUCGUUCAUGCCAAACUUCUGUAGUAUCUUCUUUAAAUAUUGCUUCUGAGAUAAACUAACUCUGCCAUGAGCUCUAUCCCUACAUAUUUCCAUGCCAAGGAUCUUCUUAGCUUCACCUAGAUCUUUCAUCUCAAACUCAAGGUUGAGUUGAGUCUUCAAUCUCUCAAUUUCAACUUUACUCUUAGAUGCUAUCAACAUAUCAUCAACAUAUAAGAGCAAGUAUACGAAAAAUCCUUCUUGUAGCUUCUGAAAAUACACGCAAUGAUCAAAUUUACUUCUUGUAUACCUUUGCCCUUUCAUGAACUGAUCAAAUCGCUUGUACCACUGCCUUGGAGAUUGUUUCAAUCCAUAAAGCGACUUUGUCAGUUUGCAAACCUAAUUUUCUUUAUCAGCAACCUUGAAUCCAUCUGGCUAAGUCAUAUAGAUUUCCUCUUCCAAAUCACCGUGUAAAAAUGCGGUCUUCACAUCGAGUUGAACUAGUUCAAGAUCAUAUUGCGCAACCAAGGCUAGCAAAAUCCGAAUAGACGAAUACUUCACAACUGGAGAAAAUACUUCAUUGUAGUCUAUUCCUUCUUUCUGAGCGUAACCCUUUGCUACCAAUCUAGCCUUGUAUCGAACUUCAUUUUUAUCAGGAAAUCCUUCCUUCUUUGCAUAUACCCAUUUGCAUCCAAUUGCCUUCUUUCCUUUAGGUAGUGUCACCAACUCCCAAGUCCUAUUUUUAUGAAGAGACUGCAUUUCUUCAUUCAUAGCUUGCUUCCACUUUACACUAUCAGAGUUACUUCUUGCUUCUGUGUAAGUAGAAGGAACAUCAUCAUCUACAAUUGGAAGUGCUUAGGCCACCAUAUCAUCAAAGCGAGCAGGCAUACGAAUCUCUCUUCUUGGCCUUCUAUAUGCAAUUGAAUCAUGUUGCUAUAGAAGUUCUUGGGUCGAAACUUCUUCAUCAUUUGUUCCUUCAAUAUUAGCUGGAUCAUCAUUAACCUUUUCAAGCUCCACCUGCUGCAAAGUGCCACUAGUUGUGUUAUCCUUUUGUGAAUCAUUGUUCUUCAUCAUGGUUGAUUCAUCAAAAGUCACAUCUCUACUGAAAAUUAUUUUCCUUGUAUCAGGACACCAGAGACGGUAUCCUUUUUCUCCACCAGUUAUACCCAUGAAUAAUGCUUUCUUUGCUCUUGGGUCUAACUUAGAUUCUUUUACAUGAUAAUAUGCAGUGGAACCAAAAAUAUGUAAAGAAUCAUAAUCAGUAGCAGGUUUACCAGCCCACCUCUCCAUAGGAGUUUUUCCAUUUAUUGCAGCUGAUGGCAACCGAUUAAUUAGAUGGCACGCAUAUGUAACUGCCUCAGCCCAAAAUUCUUUGCCCAAUCCAGCAUUGGACAACAUACAUCGAACUUUCUCCAGUAUAGUCCGAUUCAUACGUUCUGCCACCCCAUUCUGUUGUGGUGUAUCUCGAACAGUGAAGUGUCGUACAAUACCUUCAUCGUGACAUACUUGUAGAAAUGGAUCAUUCUUGUACUCAGUACCAUUGUCUGAUCGAAGUCGUUUGACUUUUCGACCAGCCUGGGUCUCCACCAUCUUCUUCCAUUUCAGAAAUACAUCCAAAACUUCAUUUUUCCUUUUCAUUAGAUACACCCAUACUUUUCUUGAAUAAUCAUCAACAAAAGUAACAAAAUAGUGCAUACCUCCCAAAGAAGCCACUUUAGUAGGUCCCCACACAUCACUGUGAACGUAGUCCAGAAUUUCUUUUGUAUUGUGAAUUGCUGAACCAAAUUUUAUCCUCGUCUGCUUGCCCAGAACACAAUGUUCACAGAAUUCCAAUUUUCAAGAAUUUGCACCUUUCAACAAGCCUUGCUUCGCCAAACUCUGCAAAGCUUUUUCACCAGCAUGUCCCAAUCGCAUAUGCCAUAACCUGGUAGCCUCUGAAUCUGCAUCUUUCGUAAAAGCUGUUGAUGUUGAUCCAAUAACUGUACUUCCAUUUAAAUAGUACAGAUUAUUCCUUCUUGUGCCUUUCAUCACCGUCAAUAUCCCUGCUACUACCUUUAGUAAUCCAUCUCUCAAAGUGAUUGUGAGCCCUUUAGAUUCUAGGACCCCUAAUGAGAUAAGAUUUUUCUUCAAGCUAGGUAUGUAGCGAACAUCUGUCAAGACUUGAAUUGAGCCGUCGUGAUUCUUCAAUUAGAUUGUACCUACUCCCAUUGUCUUACAAGCGCUAUCAUUGCCCAUAAAAACAACUCCACCUUCUAGUUCUUUAAGACUAGAAAACCAGUCCUUAUUAGGACACAUAUGGUAAGUACAUCCCGAAUCCAAAAUCCACUCAUCUGUAUGACAUGCCAUUGCCAUGCCAACCAAGCUAAAGUCUGACUCCUCAUCAUGCUCCGCUACACAUGCAUCAAAAAUAGCUUUACCCUUUUGUAACUUAGGACAAUUCUUUUUCCAAUGCCCUUUCUCACGACAAAAAGCACAUUCAUCUUUGGCAGGUCUCCCUUUGGACUUACUCCUUCUACCAGAUUUGUUGCUGCGCGAACGAAUUCUUACUGUUAAGACUUCUGUAGUUGUAUCUCUGUGAUCUUUUUUAUCUUUCUUUCGAGUCUCAGAUCUAUACAACGCACUACAGACUGCAUCAAAUGUGAUUGUAUCCUUCCCAUGAAGCAAUGUGGUGGUAAGAUGAUCAUAUUCAUCAGGAAGAGAAUUCAACAACAGUAAUGCCUUGUCUUCAUCUUCAAAUUUCUCAUCCAAAUUUAGCAAGUCUGCUAAAAUUUUAUUGAAUGAGUUCACAUGGUCAUUCAUCGACAUACCGGGUGCAUACGUAAAUCGAUAAAGUUUCUUUUUCAUAUAAAGCCUAUUUUUAAGACUUUUUGUUAGAAACUUUUCUUCUAGUGUAUCCCACAACUUCUUCGCUGAUGUCUCCCUCAUGACAGAGUGCUUCUACUCUUUGGCCAAACAUAGGCGAAUUGUUCCAUAUGCCUGUCUAUUGAUCUUGGCCCACUCCUUGUCAUCCAUUUUGUCAGGUUUUUCUUUAAGGGCUAUAUCCAGCUCUUGCUGACAUAAGACAUCCAGGAUCUCACAUUGCCACAUACCAAAAUUAUUGGUACCAUCAAAUUUCUCUACUUCAAAUUUCGCAUUGGUCACAGUAGUCUUUAACGAUGACUUUUCCAUUUUUUUUCUCCUCAAUCCCAACUACAGUACGUGAACAGUGCCGUGAACGAUCGUAUUCCCCAAGUACGAAUCUAGCUCUGAUACCAAUUGUUGUGCGGAAGCGUGUAAAAGAGUAAAAUUAUUGUACUAAAAAAUCACACUAAGUUCAAUUCCCAGGAAAGAGAGGUGGAUCACAAGGAUCGCUUAAGUACCAGGUCUUUCCUAGCCAGAAUAUCCCUCAAUCAUAAUUUAAUAGCACAAUAAAUCACUACAAUCACACACACAAUUCAUGCAGAAUAAUACAAUAAAGAACACAAGAAUUUAACGAGGUUCAGCAAAUUUUGCCUACGUCCUCGGGCACUACCAAAUAUAUUUCACUCCAAAAUACAAGUGAGAAUUUACAAAGAGAGAGAGAGAAAACAAUGCCUUAAGUAGAGAAUGGCAAGUUUGAGAUACAGAAUGAGAGAUGGUUAUGCCUAUUUAUAGUUGAGGUUCAGGGAUCAACUUGCAAAGUCACUUUACAAUUAGGGACCAUAUAUUGCAAAUAUCUCAAAUUUUAUUAUGCCAAUAUCUCGAUACCCAUAUAUUUGACUUUCCAAUAUUUGAUACCCAUAUCUUUGACUUAUUAUUUGAUACCCAUAUCUUUGAUUUUCCAUAAAUAUGGAUAAUUCCCAAUAAUAUAUAUAUAGGAAAGAUGCUAACCUUUGUUACCACGACAAGUUGUAUUGAAAUAGCUAAACAUCCAGUCAAGUUGUCUACUUAAAGAUAUGCUGGUAGGCACAAAGGAAACAUUCCACUUGGCUAAAUCUUCUGCAGACAUGGCAGUAGCUCCGGCAAACGCGAAAUUAAGCCCAUAAUCAAAUAAUCCAUCUUUGUUUAAGUAAGGAUCAAGAAAAGGAAUUCCAGCAGAUAGUGCUGUUCAAAUGUUCAAAACACGAAACAGUAAACACACUGGUUAAAAAAAAGUUAAUUAAACCAACAAAAAUCAAUACAAAUAUAAUCAUUAAUCAUCUUCCUAAACCUUUCUAGUAUGGGGUUGACACUUUUUUAGAGAAAAAAGAGAUUGAUUCUUCUCCAAGCAAUGCACCCAACGUGUAUGGUCUCAGUGAAGCUUUUGAUUAGAAUUUAGUAUUUUACCUAUAUAAUCAAUCAUCAACAAACCAUCGGAGCAUCUCCCAGUUGCUUUCUUGAAGGUUUCUCCAUAUGGUAACCUUGCAAAUUUUGAUGAAGGGUUGUCUUGCACAUCAUUACCCGUAUCUGCUAUGGAAUCCCCGAGCUGAUAUAUGGCAUCGAAAUUGUAGCUGCUAAGGAUAUGUUGAUUGUUGCAUGUAACGAAGUUGAAGAAAGAGAUGAUAAUUAGUAUAGAGAACACAAAACCUGGUGGUGAAGAUUUACUAGAAGCCAUAUAUGGAGAAAUGGUAUUACUGGGUAUUUAGCAUCUAAAUCUUAGCUCCCCCUAAAAAGGUAUAUAGUUGUGCUCCUACAGGUAGCUUUGAAUCAGGGACGGCACCAAAGGGGCAGUCAAAGGCCUUAGCACCCCCCAAACGAAAAAUUAUUAUUUUAGUCCCUUGAAAUUUUUUAAAUUAUAAGUUAGGUAAAAAUACACUUUGACCCCACAAGAUGAUUUUUUUUAAUUUAAUUCUUUUAAGAUUAUAAAUAACAAACAUAUAGAAAGAUAAAAUUAUAUUUUAACCUUUUUAAAAUUAUAUAAUUUAAUUUUAGCCUCAAAAAUAAAGUCUUGACUUGGUCCCUUUCGUAUACCUACUCUUAGACAAAAAAAAAUCAUUUUAUUUAAGCUUUUUGUUUAUUAAUAAUGAGUUUUUUUUCUCAAUGAUUCAUUAAAUACAAUUAAAAAAUAUUUGGAAGAGAAAUCUAGCAGUAGACUAGAUAGUUAAGAUGAUAUCUAACAGAGAGGUCGAUGUACGAGUGUUUGUUGAAGCUCCUAUGUAACUUUUAACAAUUUUACAAACUGAUAGAGGUAAUGGUUUCUUUGAUCAUUUAUUUUUAAUACGAGUAAAGAAACCUAAUUAUUUAAUUAUGGGUAAAAUACACAAGGAGUCACCCAACUAUGAAGAGUUAAAAAAAAGACAAUGGUGGUAACUUUUAAAAUUAGCAUAAUAGCAAUUUAACCCUUAACGUUUAUAUAUUGUAUCAAUCUAGUCUUGAUUCUAUUUUUUUUUAACUCUCAACAUUUACACAUUGUAUAAUUUAGUCUUUCUUUUUUAAUUUUGUUUUUCUUUGUGACAUUGAGGGUUAAUUUUAAAAGAAAAAGAAAAGAUAAAAAGUAUUAUCUUGGAUUUCUGGGUGCUCCUAUUUUUUUUAUAUAUUUUUAAUCAAAUUUAACUGAUAAAUUUAUUUUUAACUUUUUAGUUAAAAGAGUAAAGAAAAACAAAGUUGUACAAAAAAAAAAUCAAACUACGCAAUGUAUAAAUGUUGAGAGUUAAUUGUUUGAGGAAACAAGAUUAAAUUGACAUAAUUUAUAAAUAUUAAGGGUUAAAGUUGAUAUUAUGCUAAUUUUAAAAGUUGCCAUUGAUGAUCAGUGACCAAAAAAGACAAAAGCGAAUAAUUUAGUGAUCAUUUUGUAACUUUUUAUAAUUAAAUGACAAAAAAAUUACGUAAUUUAAUCUUUAAUUAUUUGUUUUGGACAUUGAUUAUUUAAUAACUAAUAACAUUCAAUAAUUGACGUUAAAAAAUUGUUUGUAUGAUGAAGUCAUUGUCAUCACCCAAAAGAUGUACAUAUAAAAGGAGUCACAAUCGGCCUCUACCAAAUUGAUUUUAGAAAGUAGACGCUAACUAUUUGAAAUAUAAUUGUUGUAUCUUAAUUUAUAAGUUAUUAUAUUAUUAUAUAAGCAUAAUUUUCUUUUGGUAGAUAAAGAUUAUUUCUUUCUAAAUAAUCUUUCAAAGUUAUUAAAUAAUCGUUGAAUUUUUUUGUAAUUUGGAGUACAAAAUUAAGUGAAUGUUAACGUGUUUGAGGCGAAUCUCGAUGAACAUGUCAUGCAAAUGCAACGCAUAGCUAAAGGAGUAGAUAAGAGCUUUAGACCUCUUAAAUGUCAGUUGUUCAAUUUAGUUCCUUUCUAGCUUUUAUUUAAAUGGAACAAUUGUAAUUUACACCCUUUUCAAAUGUUUAAAUUUAAUUUGGGUUAUUCUAAUGUAAAAAGUUUUAGCUUUGUCCCCUAUUUUUUUUAAUUUUACUCUUGGCUCUUCAUCACAUAAUUCAUGACUUCGCCUGAUACUGUGAGACCCAAUGUUAAUAUUUUAAGUAUUCAAAUCUCGGAUCGUUUAUGAACAAAAUUUUGAAAGAAAGAUGAUGGAAUAUUGACCUUGUAGCUGUAUAAGAGCUAGAAAGUAAUAUUAUAAAAAGAUUGGAGAUUAUAAGUUAAACACUUGGAAUUAUCGAAAAGUUGUUGCAGGAAGUUCGGUAGUUUGAUCGCCUUAGCUAACCUUCAAAGAUUCUUCAUCAAUUUAGACACCGAAAUCCCCACACUGUCAGAUUCGCUUUGAAAGAAGAGUAUGUGAAAUCCAUUAUACUCUAGAGCUCUCAAAGGGGCCAUGCAAAGAGGCUUCGAAAGAAAAUUGCAUGAAGUUCCCACAAUGUGUCAUUGGUUUCAUUAUGAUAUUUUAACCUUUAAUCAUUUUAUUUUAUAUAAAAAAAUUUGAACUGAUAAAAAAUUGAUUUCAAAUUAUUUCUAUUUUUAUUUUUCAAUUUUUAGUGUCAUUAUUAAUUUUUGUGUAAUUCAAUUGUUAAAGUAUGUAGUUUGAUACAUAAUUAUUGUUGUUAAUUUAGGAUAGCCAUGAAUGGGAUGCAUUGAGUUUGAAAUAUUUUAAGUAAAUUAUCAAAUUUUAUAAUAUUAGUUAAAAUUAAAAGAAUAUAUAUUUACUCCUUUUUUUUUCUCUUUGUAUCUUGAUUUGUGGAUUAGGUAACGAAUAUUGGUGUCCAAUUAUGUUAUGAUAAUAUAUACUUUUUUUUAUACAAUUUCUAGAAGUACCUGUAGCCUCUCUUAAGCCAUAAAUAGAAGGAUGAUAUGCUUCAGCGCACAAAAACUUACGUUUUCCUACAUUAGCAAUUGAGUUAAAACUCGAUCGGUAAGAUUUUAAAGAAAACAAAAUAAAUAAAAACUAAUCCCCCAAUUUACCGUCCACAGUAGUUCUGACAUUAUUAUAUGAUCUUCAAAUCUUUAUAAUCUAUACUAUAUAUAUAGAAUACAGACACUUGCAGCAUGUAAUAAAGCAAACCAUGAUGAUGACCUAAAUUUUAUGUGAAAAUAUUAAACCAAGUAAGCAUCAUAAACAACAAUCCUGUCCAUGACCUUGGCCACACUAUCUUUGGACUCCUUUAACACCUUGAUGCUGUUUUUAAGAUUCUCACGCUUUGCAACAAUGGCAGGAGAUUCCACCAGCAUCUUCUCCAUCCCAUGUCCAUCUGGUCCCAUCAGCUCCUUCACAAUCUCAUCAAUGUCAUUGUUUACAAGAUUAUGAACACAGUAUUGUAAAUGCAAUGCCAUGGAAUCAACCAAUCUAACUUUAAAUAUCUUCCAAUAAGCAACUGUUCUCAUCUUCAGAUCGAAAGCUUGUUGCAGGAUCAAAACGUUGGAGUGUUGUCUGAGAUGUUCGACUUGGAUUUUUCCGAAACCUUGGACUUCCCUGAGACAUUGGAUUUCUCUGAAACCUUGGAGAUCCUCAGGGUAAGGUGGCAACAUCAUGUCUGUUCCAGUUAUUUGGUUUAUGAAAUAGUCUUGUUGGUUCAUGAGCUCAUUCCACUCCCUCAUGUAAUCAGGGUUACAUGUAUAGCCUGUUAGUUUCUCCAUUUCUACAAUCUCUUUCACCCUAUUGAUUGAUUGCUCCCUCAGCUUUUGAACAAGAUUGUGAGCGGCUCCUUUCGCCGAUACCUUGAGCUGAUAAUACAUUUCCGAGUGGCGCGUCAAAACAGACGUCACCACAUCGUCUAUGUAAUCCCAAUACUUUUCGGUGAAUUUGAUAGGGAGAUACGAUAUCCUCUCGACUUUUCUCCGGAAGAUACGAAGGAAUGCUUCACAGGGAAGGAAGUUCGGUAGUUCGAUCCUCUUAGCAUCUUCCAAACCCUUGAUCUCUUCUGUUAAAAAGUCUUUCGACAGAUUACUUUCCUCGCAGUUGUGAAGUUCAUCGGAGAACCGGUUCAGCAUUUCCACAAACCGAGCAGUCCCGUGCUUCGUGUUGUCCUUGGGGUAUUCAUCAAAUUCCCAUCUCCAAAGAAGUUUCUUGAGGGAUUCUUUAGCUGCUUGAAUGAUCCACAUCAUAGCUUUAGUUGCAUCAGCAAUUGAAGUUAAGACCUUUGGCAUUUUCUCUAGCUCUGAAACAUUUGCAUCCAGCUUUGCACUAAUGUUUUUAACAAUCUCUGGAGAGCACUUUGCGAUUUCAUUAGCUUGAAUUUGAACAAGCUUUUGAGCCAAAACAUGAACACCCACAAUUGAUUUAUCAAUACAUAACAAAUGUGCAUUAGUUUCGAACAAUCUAGCCUCUUCCUUCCUUGCUUCUUCAUAGGAUUCAUCACCAAUCCGAUUCCGAACACAAACAUAUCCAAGUCCUAUAUUCACAUCAUCUGCAGUGUUGCGCGGAAGCGUGUGAAAGAGUAAAAUUAUUGUACUGAAAAAUCACACUAAGUUUAAUUCCCAGGAAAGAGAGGUGGAUCACGAGGAUCGCUUACAUACCAGAUCUUUCCUAGCCAGAAUAUCCCUCUAUCGUAAUUUAAUAGCACAAUAAAUCACUACAAUGACACUUGCAAAAAUAUGCAGAACAAAAAAUAAAGAACACUAGAAUUUUAACGAGGUUCAGCAAAUUUUGCCUACGUCCUCGGGCACUACCAAAUAUAUUUCACUCCAAAAAUACAAGUGAAAGUUUACAAAUAGGGAGAGAGAACAAUUGCCUUAAGUAGAGAAUGGCAAGUGUGGGAUGAAGAAAGUAAGAAAUGGUUAGGCCUAUUUAUAGUUGAGGUUUAAGGAUCAACUUGCAAUGUCCCUAUACAAUUAGGGACCAAAAUUACAAUUAUCCCAUGCCAACUAAUCUUACUUUCUACUUUCGGUGCCUUUCGGUGCCAACUUUCUGUCACUAUUCAUCUUUGAAAAGUCAAAGAUUGUAGGUAUCCAAUAAUCUCCACCUUGAAGAUUUGAUUAGGAUAAUCUUAUCUUCACACAAUUCUUUCUACCUUUGACAACAAUACUUGAUAGUGCCUUCUUCAACUGUUAAACUUGCAGGAUAUUGAUCAAGUUCAAACAAUGUUCGAACUUGGUUGUUGUUACCACCUUGGUCAUCAUAUCUGCGGGAUUAUCUGCAGUCUUGAUCUUCUGAAGACAAAUUUUCCCCUCUUCAAUAAUUUUCCACACAAAAUGGAAUCGUACGUCGAUAUGUUUUGUACGUGCAUGAUAGACUUGAUUCUUUGCUAAAUGAAUAGCACUUUGACUAUCACAAUACACGUUAAUAUGCUCCUGAACCAACCCCAAGGUUUUAGCCAUACCUUGUAACCAAAUAGCCUCCUUUACAGCCUCUGUUACAGCCAUGUAUUCGGCUUCUGUGGUUGACAAUGCAACUGUAGACUGUAGUGUAGACUUCCAACUUAUUGGUCCUCCAGCAAGUGUAAACACAUAACCGGUGGUUGAUCUUCGCUUGUCCAAAUCACCGGUAUAGUCAGAAUCAACGUACCCAAUAACACAUUUACCAAGUGUAUUAUCCUGCUUGAACAGUAAUCCAACAUCCACGGUCUUCUGAAUAUACCGUAGAAUCCAUUUCACAGCUUGCCAAUGUCCUUUUCCAGGAUUAUGCAUAUACCUGCUCACUAUACUAACUGCCUGUGAAAUGUCGGGUCUUGUACACACCAUUGCAUACAUCAAGCUACCCACUGCAUUAGAAUACGGAACUUGCAACAUGUAUUCUCGUUCCGUAUUCGUCGAAGGAGAUAGUUGUGCAGAAAGCUUGAAAUGAGAAGCCAACGGGGUACUUACAGGUUUGGUCUGCUCGUUCAUGCCAAACUGCUGUAGUACUUUCUUCAAAUACUGCUUCUGAGACAAGCUAACUCUGCCAUGAGCUCUAUCUCUACAUAUUUCCAUGCCGAGAAUCUUUUUAGCUUCUCCUAGAUCUUUCAUCUCAAACUCGAGAUUGAGUUGAGUCUUCAAUCUUUCAAUCUCAACUUUGCUCUUAGAUGCUAUUAGCAUAUCAUCAACAUAUAAGAGCAAGUAUAUGAAAGUUCCUUCUUGUAGCUUCUGAAAAUACACGCAAUGAUCAAAUUUACUUCUUGUGUACCUUUGCCCUUUCAUGAACUGAUCAAAUCGCUUGUACCACUGCCUCGGAGAUUGCUUCAAUCCAUAAAGCGACUUUGUCAGUUUGCAAACCCAAUUUUCUUUUCCAGCAACCUUGAAUCCAUCUGGCUGAGUCAUAUAGAUUUCCUCUUCCAAAUCACCGUGUAAAAACGCGGUCUUCACAUCAAGCUGAACUAGUUCAAGAUCAUAUUGCGCAACCAAGGCUAGCAAAAUCCGAAUAGACGAAUGCUUCACAACUGGAGAAAACACUUCAUUGUAGUCUAUUCCUUCUUUCUGAGUGUAACCCUUUGCUACCAAUCUAGCCUUGUAUCGAAUUUCAUUUUUACCAGGAAAUCCUUCCUUUUUUGCAUAUACCCAUUUGCAUCCAAUUGCCUUCUUUCCCUUGGGCAGUCUCACCAACUCCCAAGUCUUAUUUUUAUGAAGAGACUACAUUUCUUCAUUCAUAGCUUGCUUCCACUUUACACCAUCAGAGUUACUUAUUGCUUCUGUGUAAGUGGAAGGAACAUCAUCAUCUGCAAUUGGAAGUGCAUAGGCCACCAUAUCGUCAAAGCGAGCAGGCUUACGAAUCUCUCUUCUUGGCCUCCUAUAUGCAAUUGAAUCUUGUUGCUGUAGAAGUUCUUGGGUCGAAACUCCUUCAUCAUUUGUUCUUUCAAUAUUAGCUGGAUCAUCAUUAACCUUUUCAAACUCCACCUGCUGCAAAGUACUACUGGUUUUGUCAUCCUUUUGUGAAUCCUCGUUCUUCAUCAUGGUUGAUUCAUCAAAAGUUACAUCUCUACUGAAAACAAUCUUCCUUGUAUCAGGACACCAGAGACGGUAUCCUUUUACACCACCAGUUAUACCCAUGAAUAAUGCUUUCUUUGCUCUUGGGUCUAACUUAGAUUCUUUUACAUGAUAAUAUGCAGUGGAACCAAAAACAUGUAAAGAAUCAUAAUCAGUAGCAGGUUUACCAGUCCACAUCUCCAUAGGAGUUUUUUCAUUUAUUGCAGCUGAUGGCAAUCGGUUAAUUAGAUGGCACGCAUAUGUAACUGCCUCAGCCCAAAAUUCCUUGGCCAAUCCAGCAUUGGACAACAUACAUCGAACUUUCUCCAGUAUAGUCCGAUUCAUGCGUUCUGCCACCCCAUUCUGCUGUGGUGUAUCUCGAAUAGUGAAGUGUCGCACAAUGCCCUCAUCUUGACAUACUUGUAGAAAUGGAUCAUUUUUGUACUAAGUACCAUUAUCUGAUCGAAGUCGUUUGACCUUUCGACCUGUCUGAGUCUCCACCAUCUUCUUCCACUUCAGAAAUACAUCCAAAACUUCAUUUUUUCUUUUCAUUAGAUGCACCCAUACUUUUCUUGAAUAAUCAUCAAGAAAAGUGACAAAAUAGUGCAUACCUCCCAAAGAAGCCACUUUUGUAGGUCCCCACACAUCACUGUGAACAUAGUCCAGAAUUCCUUUCGUAUUGUGAAUUGCUGAACCAAAUUUUACCCUCGUCUGCUUGCCCAGAACACAAUGUUCACAGAAUUCCAAUUUGCAAGAAUUUUCACCUUUCAACAAGCCUUGCUUCGCCAAAGUCUGCAAAGCUUUUUCACCAGCAUGUCCCAAUCGUCUAUGCCAUAACCUGGUAGCCUCUGAAUCUGCAUCUUUCGCAGAAGCUGUUGAUGUUGAUCCAAUAACUGUACUUUCAUUUAAAUAGUACAAGUUAUUUCUUCUAGUGCUUUUCAUCACCGUCAAUACCCCUGCUACUACCUUUAGUAAUCCAUCUCUCAAAGUGAUUGUGAGCCCUUUAGAUUCUAGGGCCCCUAAUGAGAUGAGAUUUUUCUUCAAGCUGGGUACAUAGCGAACAUCUGUCAGAACUUGGAUUGAGCCGUCAUGGUUCUUCAAUUUGAUUGUACCUACACCCAUUGUCUUACAGGCACUAUCAUUGCCCAUAAAAACAACUCCACCUUCUAGUUCUUCAAGACUAGAAAACCAGUCCUUAUUAGGACACAUAUGGUAAGUACAUCCCGAAUCCAAUAUCCACUCAUCCGUUUGACAUGCCAUUGCCAUGCCAACCAAGCUAAAGUCUGACUCCUCAUCAUGCUCCGCUACACAUGCAUUAGAAAUAGACUUGCCCUUUUGUAACUUAGGACAAUUCUUUUUCCAAUGCCCUUUCUCACGACAAAAGGCACAUUCAUCUUUGGCGGGUCUCCCUUUGGACUUACCCCUUCUACCAGGUUUGCUGCUGUGUGAACGACCUCUUACUGUUAAGACUUCUGCAGUUGUAUCUCUGUGAUCUCUUUUAUCUUUCUUUCGAGUCUCAGAUCUAUACAACGCACUACAGACUGCAUCAAAUGUGAUUGAAUCUUUCCCAUGAAGCAAUGUGGUGGUAAGAUGAUCAUAUUCAUCAGGAAGGCAAUUCAACAACAAUAAUGCCUUGUCUUCAUCUUCAAAUUUCUCAUCCAAAUUUAGCAAGUCUGCUAAAAUUUUAUUGAAUGAGUUCACAUGAUCAUUCAUCGACAUACCGGGUGCAUACGUGAACCGAAAAAGUUUCUUUUUCAUAUAAAGCCUAUUUUCAAGACUUUUCGUUAGAAAUUUUUCUUCCAAUGUAUCCCACAGCUUCUUCGCUGAUGUCUCCCUCAUGACGGAGUACUUCUGCUCUUUGGCCAAACAUAGGCGGAUUGUACCACACGCCUGUCUAUUGAUCUUGGCCCACUCCUUAUCAUCCAUCUUGUCAGGUUUUUCUUCAAGGGCUAUAUCCAGCUCUUGCUGACAUAAGACAUCCAGGAUCUCACACUGCCACAUACCAAAAUUAUUGGUACUGUCAAAUUUCUCUACUUCAAAUUUUGCAUUUGUCACAGUAGUCCUUGCUGAUGACGAUGCUGCUGCCAUUUUUCUCCUCAAUCCCAACUACUGUAUACGUGAACAGUACUAUAUACGUGAAUAGUGCCGUAUACGUAAAUAGUACUGUAUACGUGAAUAGUGCCGUAUACGUGAAUAGUGCCGUAAACGGUCGUAUUCCCCAAGUACGAACCUGGCUCUGGUACCAAUUGUUGCGCGGAAGCGUGUGAAAGAGUAAAAUUAUUGUACUGAAAAAUCACACUAAGUUCAAUUCCCAGGAAAGAGAGGUGGAUCACGAGGAUCGCUUACAUACCAGAUCUUUCCUAGCCAGAAUAUCCCUCUAUCGUAAUUUAAUAGCACAAUAAAUCACUACAAUGACACUUGCAAAAUAUGCAGAACAAAAAAUAAAGAACACUAGAAUUUCAACGAGGUUCAGCAAAUUUUGCCUACGUCCUCGGGCACUACCAAAUAUAUUUCACUCCAAAAAUACAAGUGAAAGUUUACAAAUAGGGAGAGAGAACAAUUGCCUUAAGUAGAGAAUGGCAAGUGUGGGAUGAAGAAAGUAAGAAAUGGUUAGGCCUAUUUAUAGUUGAGGUUUAAGGAUCAACUUGCAAUGUCCCUAUACAAUUAGGGACCAAAAUUACAAUUAUCCCAUGCCAACUAAUCUUACUUUCUACUUUCGGUGCCUUUCGGUGCCAACUUUCUGCCACUAUUCAUCUUUGAAAAGUCAAAGAUUGUAGGUAUCCAAUAUGCAGUAACCUUGUCAACAAGCCCUUCAGGGGCCCUAUCUACUUUAGUAACCACAGCAAGAGUUCUCUCACCAUUCUUGUCCACUUGUUGCGACAUCCGAAUGGAUUCACAAGUUGAAAAAUCGACCGUGGCCGACAGAACAUUAAGGAUAAUGCUUUCCUUUGGUGUUAUGUACUGCAUGAUGAUGUCCCUGAUCUGCUCAUAUAUGUUGUUAGGCUGACCAUGGACAGGAACUCUGGUAAUUCCAGGAAGAUCAACCAUGGUAAGAUCAGGAACCCCAUCUUUUCUCACCACUAAAGUUAAAGGGGUGUCAGAUAUGCUCUUACCCGGGCCCGCAAUCUCAUCAGUUGCGAUGUUUAUGGCUGUUGCAAUCUGGGGUUCCUCCACUGGGACCAUUUUGCCAUUGUACUCCAAGUAAAGCUCUGGCCUUGGACUUGCAUGGUUCUGCAACCUGAUUAUGAGAGGUACCCUGGUGCAAAUUCCCUGGCUACGAGGAAGGUUAACGCCAGCCAAGGAUUCAAGAACACUAGACUUGCCUGAUGACUGGUCUCCGACCACAACAAUUGUGGGGAGCUGUAUGCCUUCUUUCAUCACCAUGAGCAGCCUGAGCCUGUCGAUGACAUCAAGCAAAGGUCGGAUUUUGUCGUUGAAUGAUGAAAUAAUUGGGGCUUGAGCUGCUGCUGCUGUCACCACCCUAGGUUGGUCCAUAGGAGGAGUUGCUGGUUGAGAAUCUUCAUAAUCAUUGAUGAAACCCAUGCUCCCUGAAUCAGCUUCAUCAUAGCUACCCAUUUUUUAGAAGUCGAGACAGGAGUGGGAAUUGGCCAAACUUGAUGUUUUAGAUGGUUUUUUUGUUGGAAGUUGGAAAGCAACAAGUUUUAACUUAAGUGAAGACAAACUCAAUGAAGCAUGCUUGGCUUGAUAAUGACAAUUAAAAUAGGGUAAAGCACCAAAAAUAGGAUCAAUAAGGUGAUAGCAUCCUAUACCAAAUCCCAAGAAACAUUCAGAGGAAGCUACAAUGGGAAUGGAAACUUUAUGUUAUACUUUUUAUUGUAGAAAAUACAACUUAUAUUCUGUAUUGGAUUGUAGAGAAUAGUGAAACAAGGACGCAAGAGAGGAAAUAGAACAAAAUCAAAUCGGAACCAAUCAGACGAUGAGUGCGUCGAUAACAGAACAAGUUCCUACAAGAACUAGAUACCAAGUAUAUUUUUCUCUUUAUUCCUUGUUUUGUGGAUUAUAUAACGAAUAUUGAUGUACUAUAUUUUUCUCUUUAUUCCUUGUUUUUGGAUUAUAUAACGAAUAUUGAUGUACGAUAUUUUUCUCUUUAUUCCUUAUUUUUGGAUUAUUUAACGAAUAUUGAUGUACGAUAAUACUUUGGUAUUGUUUUUACGUCAAAACAAAUAUGAUAUUGGACUUCUUCCCCCAAACAUUUAGACUGAUCAGUUAUUAUUCGAAAAAUUUUACCUAAAUACCAUAUUAAUAGAUGAGAACAUCUGUAUUUAAAAAUAAAAAUCCAAAAAGAUGAUUGCAUACCAAGGCAUGGAACAUUGGAAUCUUGCUACACAAAAAAGCAAAACAUGCAAUAAGCAAACCAUGAUGAUGACCCAAAUUUUAUGUGAAAAUAUUUAAAUUUAAUUUGGGUUAUUUUACUGUAAAAUAUUUUAGCUUUGUCUCCUAUUUUUAUAAUUUUAUCUUAGCUUUUCAUCAUAUAAUUCAUGAUUUCGCCUGAUAUCGUGAGAUUUAAUGUUAAUAUUUUAAGUAUUCAAAUCUCGGAUAGUUUAUGAACAAAGUUUCGAAAGAAAGAUGAUGGAAUAUUGACCUUGCAGCUGUAUAAGAGCUAGAAAGUAAUAUUAUAAAAAGAUUGGAGAUUAUAAGUUAAACACUUGGAAUUAUUGAAAAGUUGUUGCAGGAAGUUCGGUAGUUCGAUCCCCACACUGUCGGAUUCGCUUUGAGAGUAUGUGAAAUUCAUUAUACUCUAGAGCUCUCAAAGGGGACAUGCAAAGAGGCUUCGAAAGAAAAUUGCAUGAAGUUCCCACAAUGUCUCAUUGGCUUCAUUUAGAUAUUUUAAUCUUUAAUCAUUUUAUUUUAUAUAAAAAAUUGAACUCAUAAAAAAUUUAUUUCAAAUUAUUCUAAUUUUUAUUUUUCAAUUUUUAGCGUAAAUAUUGAUUUUUGUGUAAUUUUUUGUAAUUCAAUUGUUAAAGUAUGUAGUUUCAUACAUAAUUAUUGUUGUUUCAAUUGUUAAAGUAUGUAGUUUCAUACAUAAUUAUUGUUGUUAAUUUAGAAUAGCUAUGAAUGGGGGAUGCAUUGAGUUUGAAAUAUUUUAAGUAAUUUAUCAAAUUUUAUAACAUUAGUUAAAAUUAAAAGAAUAUAUAUUUACUCUCUCUUUUUUCUCUUUGUAUCGAAUAUGGUGUCUGAUUCUGUUUUGAUAAUAUCUGCUUUUUUUGACAUAAUAUCUAGAAGUACCUGUAGCCCCUUUUUAAGCCAUAAAUAAGAGGAUAAUAUGCUUCUGCGCACAAAAACUUAUAUCUUCCUACAUUGACAAUUAAGUUAAGACUCGAUUGGCAAGAUUUUAAAGAAAACAAAAUAAAGAAAAACUAAUCCCCCAAUUUACCGUCCACAGUAGUUCUGACAUUAUUAUAUAAUCUUCAAUUCUUUAUAAUCUAUGCUAUAUAUAUAGAGUACAGACACUUGCAGCAUGUAAUAAAGCAAACCAUGAUGAUGACCUAAAUUUUAUGUGAAAAUAUUAAACCAAGUAAGCAUCAUAAACAACAAUCCUGUCCAUGACCUUGGCCGCACUAUCUUUGGACUCCUUUAACACCUUGAUGCUGUUUUUAAGCUUCUCACGCUUUGCAACAAUGGCAGGAGAUUCCACCAGCAUCAUCUUUAUCCCAUGUCCAUCUGGUCCCAUCAGCUCCUUCAUAAUCUCAUCAGUGUCAUUGUGUACAAGAUUAUGAACAUGGUAUUGCAAAUGCAAUGCCAUGGAAUCAACCAAUCUCACCUUAAAUAUCUUCCAAUAAGCAACCAUUCUCAUCUUCAGGGCGAAAGCUUGUUGCAGGAUCGAAACAUUCGAGUGUUGUCUGAGAUGUUCGACUUGGAUUUCCCCGAAACCUUGGAGGUUCACACAGCAAGGCAGCGGCCCCAUGUUUGUUCCAGAUAUUUGGUUUAUGAAAUGGUCUUGUUCCUUCAUGAGCUUAUUCCACUCCAUCAUGUAAUCAGGGUUACAUGUAUAGCCUGUUAGCUUCUCCAUUUCUACUAUCUCUUUCACCCUAUUGAUUGAUUGCUCCCUCAGCUUUUGAACAAGGUUGUGAGCAGCUCCUUUCGCGAAUACCUUGACGUGAUAAUACAUUUCCCAGUGGCGCGUCAAAACAGACAUCACCACAUCGUCUAUGUAAUCCCAAUACUUUUCGGUGAACUUGAUAGGGAGAUAUGAUAUCCUCUCGACUUUUUUCCGUAAGAUACGAAGGAAUGCUUCAAAGGGAGGGAAGUUCGGUAGUUCGAUCCCCUUAGCAUCUUCCAAACCCUUGAUCUCUUCUGUUAAAAAGUCUUUUGAUAGAUUACUUUCCUCGCAGUUGUGAAGCUCAUCGGAGAACCGGUUCAGCAUUUCGACAAACCGAGCAGUCCCGUGCUUCGUGUUGUCCUCGGGGUAUUCAUCAAAUUCCCCCCUCCAAAGAAGCUUCUUGAGGGAUUCUUUAGCUGCUUGAAUGAUCCUCAUCAUAGCUUGAGUGGCAUCAGCAUCAGAAGUUAAGGCCUUUGGCAUUUUCUCUAGCUCUGAAACAUUUGCUUCCAGCUUUGCACUAAUGUUUUUAACAAUCUCAGGCAAGCACUUUGCAAUUUCAUUAGCUUGAAUUCGGACAAGCUUUUGAGCCAAAACAUGAACACCCACAAUUGAUUUAUCAAUACAUGACAAAUGUGCAUUAGUUUCGAACAAUCUAGCCUCUUCCUUCCUUGCUUCUUCAUAGGAUUCAUCACCAAUCCGAUUCCGAACACAAACAUAACCAAGUCCUAUAUUCACAUCAUCUGCAGUAACCUUGUCAACAAGCCCUUCGGGGGCCCUAUCUACUUUAGUAACCACAGCAAGAGUUCUCUCACCAUUCUUGUCCACUUGUUGCGACAUCCUAAUGGAUUCACAAGUUGAAAAAUCAACCGUAGCCGACAGAACAUUAAGGAUAAUGCUUUCCUUUGGUGUUAUGUACUGCAUGAUGAUGUCCCGGAUCUGCUCAUAUAUGUUGUCAGGCUGACCAUGGACAGGAACUCUGGUAAUUCCAGGAAGAUCAACCAUGGUAAGAUCAGGAACCCCGUCUUUUCUCACCACCAAAGUCAAAGGGAUGUCAGAUAUGCUCUUACCCGGGCCUGCAAUCUCAUCAGUUGCAAUGUUUAUGGCUGUUGCAAUCUGGGGUUCCUCCACUGGGACCAUUUUGCCAUUGUACUCCAAGUAGAGCUCUGGCCUUGGCCUUGCAUGGUUCUGCAACUUGAUUAUGAGAGGUACCCUGGUGCAAAUUCCCUGGCUACGAGGAAGGUUAACACCAGCCAAGGAUUCAAGAACACUAGACUUGCCUGAUGACUGGUCUCCAACCACAACAAUUGUGGGGAGCUGUAUGCCUUCUUUCAUCACCAUGAGCAGCCUGAGCCUGUCGAUGACAUCAAGCAAAGGUCGGAUUUUGUCAUUGUAUGAUGAAAUAAUUGGAGCUUGAGCUGCUGCUGCUCCCACCACAUUAGGUUGUUCCAUAGGAGGAGUUGCUGGUUGAGAAUCUUCAUAAUCAAUGAUAACAUCAAUGCUCCCUGAAUCAGAUUCAUCAUCGCUACCCAUUUUUUAGAAGUCGAGACAGGAGUGGGAAUUGGCCAAACUUGAUGUUUUUUAUGGUUUUUUUGUUGGAAGUUGGAAAGCAAUAAACUUAAACUAAAGUGAAGAAAAAUUCAAUGAAGCAUAUUUGGCUUUAUAAUGAAAAUUAAAAUAGGGUAAAGCACCAAAAAUAGGCACAAUAAAGCGAUAGCAUCCUAUACCAAACCCCAAGAAACAAUCAAAGGAAGCUACAAUGGGAAUGGAAAACUUUAGGUUAUACUUUGAAUUGUAGAAAAUACAUCUUAUAUUCCGUAUUGGAUUGUAGAAAAUAAUGAUACAAGGACAGAAGAGAGGAAACAGAUCAAAAUCAAAUCGUGACCAACCAAAAGAUGAGUGUGUCGAUGACAGAAAGUUCGAAACAUAAACAGCCCCACUAAUUCCUACAGGAACUACACAGCAGAACUAUAUGAAACAAUGUAUUCACAUUGAAGUUUCGGAUAGAUGUCACGUACAAGCCAUGUUGCCAUUAACUCAUAUGCUCUUUGUGUCAAAUGAACUCCAUCCCAACUAAGCCGUUCAUUAGGGUUUUCGCAUACCGGUACUUUUGGAUCUCCGCACCAACUUGAUAAGCCAUAAUUGUAGUCUCCCCCAAUUCCGCAGCAAGCCUUUUGCAAUGAUAUUGGAUCAAAACCUAAUGAGAUUUUUCGAAAACUCAGAACAUGACUAGAACCAUUCACAGUACGGUCUCAUAAACUUAUGGAUGCAAAUAAAUCAGACUUACCAAGCAGAUCAGCUUUGCUCAAAAGCCACAGGAAUGCAUUGUAGUAGUCACCGUAGACAACGGUUUCAUCUGGAUGUUCUUCUUUUAGCUCAGCAAUAGCUUGUUGAAGAAGAUAAUUAUGAUAGAUUGAAAAAUUAUUCAACUCCUUUAAACAAUGAAGUUCAUCAUAAGCAGUAGAAUCAUUUGUUUGGUAUUUGGUGAGAUAUACAGGAAAGCAGCCUAUGGGGAAGUUUCCAGGAACAACUAACCGAGUAGCACCAUAUCCGAUAACUCUCUACACAGUGGAACUUAUGAGAAACAGGGUUUCAAUGAUUAGAAGUGAUAUAAUCAGAUGUCUCUUGAAAGGAAACUUACUUUGGUAGCUUGUUUUAUCGUUUCUACUACCUCGGGCACCAUGGUCUUAACCUCUUCUAUGGUUUUUCCUUGCCAAAAGGCGUAGUUAUAGUCAUUUCCUCCGAUCUCCCCAACCAUGAAAAGAGCUUUUCCAUUUUUCUUGAAGCAAUCUACCAAAUAUAACACCUCAAGUGGUUAUUUGUGUUAAUCCAUUCUGAACAUCGUUAUUAUACCUGAUUACCUAACCAGGAGGCCUCAUUAGACCAACCGCUCCAUCAUGGAGGUCUCGCCUGCAUGAUAGCUCAACCAACUAAAGACACUCAUGUGCCUUGUCACACGAGCCACCACAAGGUCAUAUCAAGAUCCACUCAGGACCUGCUCCUGUCACAUCUAGUACAGGCUCUAUCACUCGACCAUUAAGUCUACAAGAAUAAUCUAUCUUCAACCUCUGCUAGCAGCUCUUGACACUCACGUGUGAGCCACCUUCAACCUCUUCCACCACAUCCUAUAUCAACAAACAUAUAUAUAUAUAUAUAUAGGAAAGAUGCUAACCUUUGUUACCACGACAAGUUGUAUUGAAAUAGCUAAACAUCUAGUCAAGUUGUCUACUUAAAGAUAUGCUGGUAGGCACAAAGGAAACAUUCCACUUGGCUAAAUCUUCUGCAGACAUGGCAGUAGCUCCGGCAAACGCGAAAUUAAGCCCAUAAUCAAAUAAUCCAUCUUUGUUUAAGUAAGGAUCAAGAAAAGGAAUUCCAGCAGAUAGUGCUGUUCAAAUGUUCAAAACACGAAACAGUAAACACACUGGUUAAAAAAAAGUUAAUUAAACCAACAAAAAUCAAUACAAAUAUAAUCAUUAAUCAUCUUCCUAAACCUUUCUAGUAUGGGGUUGACACUUUUUUAGAGAAAAAAGAGAUUGAUUCUUCUCCAAGCAAUGCACCCAACGUGUAUGGUCUCAGUGAAGCUUUUGAUUAGAAUUUAGUAUUUUACCUAUAUAAUCAAUCAUCAACAAACCAUCGGAGCAUCUCCCAGUUGCUUUCUUGAAGGUUUCUCCAUAUGGUAACCUUGCAAAUUUUGAUAAAGGGUUGUCUUGCACAUCAUUACCCGUAUCUGCUAUGGAAUCCCCGAGCUGAUAUAUGGCAUCGAAAUUGCAGCUGCUAAGGAUAUGUUGAUUGUUGCAUGUAACGAAGUUGAAGAAAGAGAUGAUAAUUAGUAUAGAGAACACAAAACCUGGUGGUGAAGAUUUACUAGAAGCCAUAUAUGCAGAAAUGGUAUUACUGGGUAUUUAGCAUCUAAAUCUUAGCUCCCCCUAAAAAGGUAUAUAGUUGUGCUCCUACAGGUAGCUUUGAAUCAGGGACGGCACCAAAGGGGCAGUCAAAGGCCUUAGCACCCCCCAAACGGAAAAUUAUUAUUUUAGUCCCUUGAAAUUUUUUAAAUUAUAAGUUAGGUAAAAAUACACUUUGACCCCACAAGAUGAUUUUUUUUUAAUUUAAUUCUUUUAAGAUUAUAAAUAACAAACAUAUAGAAAGAUAAAAUUAUAUUUUAGCCUUUUUAAAAUUAUAUAAUUUAAUUUUAGCCUCAAAAAUAAAGUCUUGACUUGGUCCUUUCGUAUACCUACUCUUAGACAAAAAAAAAAUCAUUUUAUUUAAGCUUUUUGUUUAUUAAUAAUGAGUUUUUUUUUUCUCAAUGAUUCAUUAAAUACAAUUAAAAAAUAUUUGGAAGAGAAAUCUAGCAGUAGACUAGAUAGUUAAGAUGAUAUCUAACAGAGAGGUCGAUGUACGAGUGUUUGUUGAAGCUCCUAUGUAACUUUUAACAAUUUUACAAACUGAUAGAGGUAAUGGUUUCUUUGAUCAUUUAUUUUUAAUACGAGUAAAGAAACCUAAUUAUUUAAUUAUGGGUAAACUACACAAGGAGUCACCCAACUAUGAAGAGUUAAAAAAAAGACAAUGGUGGUAACUUUUAAAAUUAGCAUAAUAGCAAUUUAACCCUUAACAUUUAUAUAUUGUAUCAAUUUAGUCUUGAUUCUAUUUUUUUUUUAACUCUCAACAUUUACACAUUGUAUAAUUUAGUCUUUCUUUUUGUAAUUUUGUUUUUCUUUGUGACAUUGAGGGUUAAUUUUAAAAGAAAAAGAAAAGAUAAAAAGUAUUAUCUUGGAUUUCUGGGUGCUCCUAUUUUUUUAUAUAUUUUUAAUCAAAUUGAACUGAUAAAUUUAUUUUUAACUUUUUAGUUAAAAGAGUAAAGAAAAACAAAGUUGUACAAAAAAAAAAAUCAAACUACGCAAUGUAUAAAUGUUGAGAGUUAAUUGUUUGAGGAAACAAGAUUAAAUUGACAUAAUUUAUAAAUAUUAAGGGUUAAAGUUGAUAUUAUGCUAAUUUUUAAAAGUUGCCAUUGAUGAUCAGUGACCAAAAAAGACAAAAGCGAAUAAUUUAGUGAUCAUUUUGUAACUUUUCAUAAUUAAAUGACAAAAAAAUUACGUAAUUUAAUCUUUAAUUAUUUGUUUUGGACAUUGAUUAUUUAAUAACUAAUAACAUUCAAUAAUUGACGUUAAAAAAUUGUUUGUAUGAUGAAGUCAUUGUCAUCACCCAAAAGAUGUACAUAUAAAAGGAGUCACAAUCGGCCUCUACCAAAUUGAUUUUAGAAAGUAGACGCUAACUAUUUGAAAUAUAAUUGUUGUAUCUUAAUUUAUAAGUUAUUAUAUUAUUAUAUAAGCAUAAUUUUCUUUUGGUAGAUAAAGAUUAUUUCUUUCUAAAUAAUCUUUCAAAGUUAUUAAAUAAUCGUUGAAUUUUUUUGUAAUUUGGAGUACAAAAUUAAGUGAAUGUUAACGUGUUUGAGGCGAAUCUCGAUGAACAUGUCAUGCAAAUGCAACGCAUAGCUAAAGGAGUAGAUAAGAGCUUUAGACCUCUUAAAUGUCAGUUGUUCAAUUUAGUUCCUUUCUAGCUUUUAUUUAAAUGGAACAAUUGUAAUUUACACCCUUUUCAAAUGUUUAAAUUUAAUUUGGGUUAUUCUAAUGUAAAAAGUUUUAGCUUUGUCCCCUAUUUUUUUAAUUUUAUCUUGGCUCUUCAUCACAUAAUUCAUGACUUCGCCUGAUACUGUGAGACCCAAUGUUAAUAUUUUAAGUAUUCAAAUCUCGGAUCGUUUAUGAACAAAAUUUUGAAAGAAAGAUGAUGGAAUAUUGACCUUGUAGCUGUAUAAGAGCUAGAAAGUAAUAUUAUAAAAAGAUUGGAGAUUAUAAGUUAAACACUUGGAAUUAUCGAAAAGUUGUUGCAGGAAGUUCGGUAGUUUGAUCGCCUUAGCUAACCUUCAAAGAUUCUUCAUCAAUUUAGACACCGAAAUCCCCACACUGUCAGAUUCGCUUUGAAAGAAGAGUAUGUGAAAUCCAUUAUACUCUAGAGCUCUCAAAGGGGCCAUGCAAAGAGGCUUCGAAAGAAAAUUGCAUGAAGUUCCCACAAUGUGUCAUUGGUUUCAUUAUGAUAUUUUAACCUUUAAUCAUUUUAUUUUAUAUAAAAAAAUUUGAACUGAUAAAAAAUUGAUUUCAAAUUAUUUCUAUUUUUAUUUUUCAAUUUUUAGUGUCAUUAUUAAUUUUUGUGUAAUUCAAUUGUUAAAGUAUGUAGUUUGACACAUAAUUAUUGUUGUUAAUUUAGGAUAGCCAUGAAUGGGAUGCAUUGAGUUUGAAAUAUUUUAAGUAAAUUAUCAAAUUUUAUAAUAUUAGUUAAAAUUAAAAGAAUAUAUAUUUACUCCUUUCUUUUUUUCUCUUUGUAUCUUGAUUUGUGGAUUAGGUAACGAAUAUUGGUGUCCAAUUAUGUUAUGAUAAUAUAUACUUUUUUUUAUACAAUUUCUAGAAGUACUUGUAGCCUCUCUUAAGCCAUAAAUAGAAGGAUGAUAUGCUUCAGCGCACAAAAACUUACGUUUUCCUACAUUAGCAAUUGAGUUAAAACUCGAUCGGCAAAAUUUUAAAGAAAACAAAAUAAAUAAAAACUAAUCCCCCAAUUUACCGUCCACAGUAGUUCUGACAUUAUUAUAUGAUCUUCAAAUCUUUAUAAUCUAUACUAUAUAUAUAGAAUACAGACACUUGCAGCAUGUAAUAAAGCAAACCAUGAUGAUGACCUAAAUUUUAUGUGAAAAUAUUAAACCAAGUAAGCAUCAUAAACAACAAUCCUGUCCAUGACCUUGGCCACACUAUCUUUGGACUCCUUUAACACCUUGAUGCUGUUUUUAAGAUUCUCACGCUUUGCAACAAUGGCAGGAGAUUCCACCAGCAUCUUCUCCAUCCCAUGUCCAUCUGGUCCCAUCAGCUCCUUCACAAUCUCAUCAAUGUCAUUGUUUACAAGAUUAUGAACACAGUAUUGUAAAUGCAAUGCCAUGGAAUCAACCAAUCUAACUUUAAAUAUCUUCCAAUAAGCAACUGUUCUCAUCUUCAGAUCGAAAGCUUGUUGCAGGAUCAAAACGUUGGAGUGUUGUCUGAGAUGUUCGACUUGGAUUUUUCCGAAACCUUGGACCUCCCUGAGACCUUGGAUUUCUCUGAAACCUUGGAGAUCCUCAGGGUAAGGUGGCAACAUCAUGUCUGUUCCAGUUAUUUGGUUUAUGAAAUAGUCUUGUUGGUUCAUGAGCUCAUUCCACUCCCUCAUGUAAUCAGGGUUACAUGUAUAGCCUGUUAGUUUCUCCAUUUCUACAAUCUCUUUCACCCUAUUGAUUGAUUGCUCCCUCAGCUUUUGAACAAGAUUGUGAGCGGCUCCUUUCGCCGAUACCUUGAGCUGAUAAUACAUUUCCGAGUGGCGCGUCAAAACAGACGUCACCACAUCGUCUAUGUAAUCCCAAUACUUUUCGGUGAAUUUGAUAGGGAGAUACGAUAUCCUCUCGACUUUUCUCCGGAAGAUACGAAGGAAUGCUUCACAGGGAAGGAAGUUCGGUAGUUCGAUCCUCUUAGCAUCUUCCAAACCCUUGAUCUCUUCUGUUAAAAAGUCUUUCGACAGAUUACUUUCCUCGCAGUUGUGAAGUUCAUCGGAGAACCGGUUCAGCAUUUCCACAAACCGAGCAGUCCCGUGCUUCGUGUUGUCCUCGGGGUAUUCAUCAAAUUCCCCUCUCCAAAGAAGUUUCUUGAGGGAUUCUUUAGCUGCUUGAAUGAUCCACAUCAUAGCUUUAGUUGCAUCAGCAAUUGAAGUUAAGACCUUUGGCAUUUUCUCUAGCUCUGAAACAUUUGCAUCCAGCUUUGCACUAAUGUUUUUAACAAUCUCUGGAGAGCACUUUGCAAUUUCAUUAGCUUGAAUUUGAACAAGCUUUUGAGCCAAAACAUGAACACCCACAAUUGAUUUAUCAAUACAUGACAAAUGUGCAUUAGUUUCGAACAAUCUAGCCUCUUCCUUCCUUGCUUCUUCAUAGGAUUCAUCACCAAUCCGAUUCCGAACACAAACAUAUCCAAGUCCUAUAUUCACAUCAUCUGCAGUAACCUUGUCAACAAGCCCUUCAGGGGCCCUAUCUACUUUAGUAACCACAGCAAGAGUUCUCUCACCAUUCUUGUCCACUUGUUGCGACAUCCGAAUGGAUUCACAAGUUGAAAAAUCGACCGUGGCCGACAGAACAUUAAGGAUAAUGCUUUCCUUUGGUGUUAUGUACUGCAUGAUGAUGUCCCUGAUCUGCUCAUAUAUGUUGUUAGGCUGACCAUGGACAGGAACUCUGGUAAUUCCAGGAAGAUCAACCAUGGUAAGAUCAGGAACCCCAUCUUUUCUCACCACUAAAGUUAAAGGGGUGUCAGAUAUGCUCUUACCCGGGCCCGCAAUCUCAUCAGUUGCGAUGUUUAUGGCUGUUGCAAUCUGGGGUUCCUCCACUGGGACCAUUUUGCCAUUGUACUCCAAGUAAAGCUCUGGCCUUGGACUUGCAUGGUUCUGCAACCUGAUUAUGAGAGGUACCCUGGUGCAAAUUCCCUGGCUACGAGGAAGGUUAACGCCAGCCAAGGAUUCAAGAACACUAGACUUGCCUGAUGACUGGUCUCCGACCACAACAAUUGUGGGGAGCUGUAUGCCUUCUUUCAUCACCAUGAGCAGCCUGAGCCUGUCGAUGACAUCAAGCAAAGGUCGGAUUUUGUCGUUGAAUGAUGAAAUAAUUGGGGCUUGAGCUGCUGCUGCUGUCACCACCCUAGGUUGGUCCAUAGGAGGAGUUGCUGGUUGAGAAUCUUCAUAAUCAUUGAUGAAACCCAUGCUCCCUGAAUCAGCUUCAUCAUAGCUACCCAUUUUUUAGAAGUCGAGACAGGAGUGGGAAUUGGCCAAACUUGAUGUUUUAGAUGGUUUUUUUGUUGGAAGUUGGAAAGCAACAAGUUUUAACUUAAGUGAAGACAAACUCAAUGAAGCAUGCUUGGCUUGAUAAUGACAAUUAAAAUAGGGUAAAGCACCAAAAAUAGGAUCAAUAAGGUGAUAGCAUCCUAUACCAAAUCCCAAGAAACAUUCAGAGGAAGCUACAAUGGGAAUGGAAACUUUAUGUUAUACUUUUUAUUGUAGAAAAUACAACUUAUAUUCUGUAUUGGAUUGUAGAGAAUAGUGAAACAAGGACGCAAGAGAGGAAAUAGAACAAAAUCAAAUCGGAACCAAUCAGACGAUGAGUGCGUCGAUAACAGAACAAGUUCCUACAAGAACUAGAUACCAAGUAUAUUUUUCUCUUUAUUCCUUGUUUUGUGGAUUAUAUAACGAAUAUUGAUGUACUAUAUUUUUCUCUUUAUUCCUUGUUUUUGGAUUAUAUAACGAAUAUUGAUGUACGAUAUUUUUCUCUUUAUUCCUUAUUUUUGGAUUAUUUAACGAAUAUUGAUGUACGAUAAUACUUUGGUAUUGUUUUUACGUCAAAACAAAUAUGAUAUUGGACUUCUUCCCCCAAACAUUUAGACUGAUCAGUUAUUAUUCGAAAAAUUUUACCUAAAUACCAUAUUAAUAGAUGAGAACAUCUGUAUUUAAAAAUAAAAAUCCAAAAAGAUGAUUGCAUACCAAGGCAUGGAACAUUGGAAUCUUGCUACACAAAAAAGCAAAACAUGCAAUAAGCAAACCAUGAUGAUGACCCAAAUUUUAUGUGAAAAUAUUUAAAUUUAAUUUGGGUUAUUUUACUGUAAAAUAUUUUAGCUUUGUCUCCUAUUUUUAUAAUUUUAUCUUAGCUUUUCAUCAUAUAAUUCAUGAUUUCGCCUGAUAUCGUGAGAUUUAAUGUUAAUAUUUUAAGUAUUCAAAUCUCGGAUAGUUUAUGAACAAAGUUUCGAAAGAAAGAUGAUGGAAUAUUGACCUUGCAGCUGUAUAAGAGCUAGAAAGUAAUAUUAUAAAAAGAUUGGAGAUUAUAAGUUAAACACUUGGAAUUAUUGAAAAGUUGUUGCAGGAAGUUCGGUAGUUCGAUCCCCACACUGUCGGAUUCGCUUUGAGAGUAUGUGAAAUUCAUUAUACUCUAGAGCUCUCAAAGGGGACAUGCAAAGAGGCUUCGAAAGAAAAUUGCAUGAAGUUCCCACAAUGUCUCAUUGGCUUCAUUUAGAUAUUUUAAUCUUUAAUCAUUUUAUUUUAUAUAAAAAAUUGAACUCAUAAAAAUUUAUUUCAAAUUAUUCUAAUUUUUAUUUUUCAAUUUUUAGCGUAAAUAUUGAUUUUUGUGUAAUUUUUUGUAAUUCAAUUGUUAAAGUAUGUAGUUUCAUACAUAAUUAUUGUUGUUUCAAUUGUUAAAGUAUGUAGUUUCAUACAUAAUUAUUGUUGUUAAUUUAGAAUAGCUAUGAAUGGGGGAUGCAUUGAGUUUGAAAUAUUUUAAGUAAUUUAUCAAAUUUUAUAACAUUAGUUAAAAUUAAAAGAAUAUAUAUUUACUCUCUCUUUUUUCUCUUUGUAUCGAAUAUGGUGUCUGAUUCUGUUUUGAUAAUAUCUGCUUUUUUUGACAUAAUAUCUAGAAGUACCUGUAGCCCCUUUUUAAGCCAUAAAUAAGAGGAUAAUAUGCUUCUGCGCACAAAAACUUAUAUCUUCCUACAUUGACAAUUAAGUUAAGACUCGAUUGGCAAGAUUUUAAAGAAAACAAAAUAAAGAAAAACUAAUCCCCCAAUUUACCGUCCACAGUAGUUCUGACAUUAUUAUAUAAUCUUCAAUUCUUUAUAAUCUAUGCUAUAUAUAUAGAGUACAGACACUUGCAGCAUGUAAUAAAGCAAACCAUGAUGAUGACCUAAAUUUUAUGUGAAAAUAUUAAACCAAGUAAGCAUCAUAAACAGCAAUCCUGUCCAUGACCUUGGCCGCACUAUCUUUGGACUCCUUUAACACAUUGAUGCUGUUUUUAAGCUUCUCACGCUUUGCAACAAUGGCAGGAGAUUCCACCAGCAUCAUCUUUAUCCCAUGUCCAUCUGGUCCCAUCAGCUCCUUCAUAAUCUCAUCAGUGUCAUUGUGUACAAGAUUAUGAACAUGGUAUUGCAAAUGCAAUGCCAUGGAAUCAACCAAUCUCACCUUAAAUAUCUUCCAAUAAGCAACCAUUCUCAUCUUCAGGGCGAAAGCUUGUUGCAGGAUCGAAACAUUCGAGUGUUGUCUGAGAUGUUCGACUUGGAUUUCCCCGAAACCUUGGAGGUUCACACAGCAAGGCAGCGGCCCCAUGUUUGUUCCAGAUAUUUGGUUUAUGAAAUGGUCUUGUUCCUUCAUGAGCUUAUUCCACUCCAUCAUGUAAUCAGGGUUACAUGUAUAGCCUGUUAGCUUCUCCAUUUCUACUAUCUCUUUCACCCUAUUGAUUGAUUGCUCCCUCAGCUUUUGAACAAGGUUGUGAGCAGCUCCUUUCGCGAAUACCUUGACGUGAUAAUACAUUUCCCAGUGGCGCGUCAAAACAGACAUCACCACAUCGUCUAUGUAAUCCCAAUACUUUUCGGUGAACUUGAUAGGGAGAUAUGAUAUCCUCUCGACUUUUUUCCGUAAGAUACGAAGGAAUGCUUCAAAGGGAAGGAAGUUCGGUAGUUCGAUCCCCUUAGCAUCUUCCAAACCCUUGAUCUCUUCUGUUAAAAAGUCUUUUGAUAGAUUACUUUCCUCGCAGUUGUGAAGCUCAUCGGAGAACCGGUUCAGCAUUUCGACAAACCGAGCAGUCCCGUGCUUCGUGUUGUCCUCGGGGUAUUCAUCAAAUUCCCCCCUCCAAAGAAGCUUCUUGAGGGAUUCUUUAGCUGCUUGAAUGAUCCUCAUCAUAGCUUGAGUGGCAUCAGCAUCAGAAGUUAAGGCCUUUGGCAUUUUCUCUAGCUCUGAAACAUUUGCUUCCAGCUUUGCACUAAUGUUUUUAACAAUCUCAGGCAAGCACUUUGCAAUUUCAUUAGCUUGAAUUCGGACAAGCUUUUGAGCCAAAACAUGAACACCCACAAUUGAUUUAUCAAUACAUGACAAAUGUGCAUUAGUUUCGAACAAUCUAGCCUCUUCCUUCCUUGCUUCUUCAUAGGAUUCAUCACCAAUCCGAUUCCGAACACAAACAUAACCAAGUCCUAUAUUCACAUCAUCUGCAGUAACCUUGUCAACAAGCCCUUCGGGGGCCCUAUCUACUUUAGUAACCACAGCAAGAGUUCUCUCACCAUUCUUGUCCACUUGUUGCGACAUCCUAAUGGAUUCACAAGUUGAAAAAUCAACCGUAGCCGACAGAACAUUAAGGAUAAUGCUUUCCUUUGGUGUUAUGUACUGCAUGAUGAUGUCCCGGAUCUGCUCAUAUAUGUUGUCAGGCUGACCAUGGACAGGAACUCUGGUAAUUCCAGGAAGAUCAACCAUGGUAAGAUCAGGAACCCCGUCUUUUCUCACCACCAAAGUCAAAGGGAUGUCAGAUAUGCUCUUACCCGGGCCUGCAAUCUCAUCAGUUGCAAUGUUUAUGGCUGUUGCAAUCUGGGGUUCCUCCACUGGGACCAUUUUGCCAUUGUACUCCAAGUAGAGCUCUGGCCUUGGCCUUGCAUGGUUCUGCAACUUGAUUAUGAGAGGUACCCUGGUGCAAAUGCCCUGGCUACGAGGAAGGUUAACACCAGCCAAGGAUUCAAGAACACUAGACUUGCCUGAUGACUGGUCUCCAACCACAACAAUUGUGGGGAGCUGUAUGCCUUCUUUCAUCACCAUGAGCAGCCUGAGCCUGUCGAUGACAUCAAGCAAAGGUCGGAUUUUGUCAUUGUAUGAUGAAAUAAUUGGAGCUUGAGCUGCUGCUGCUCCCACCACAUUAGGUUGUUCCAUAGGAGGAGUUGCUGGUUGAGAAUCUUCAUAAUCAAUGAUAACAUCAAUGCUCCCUGAAUCAGAUUCAUCAUCGCUACCCAUUUUUUAGAAGUCGAGACAGGAGUGGGAAUUGGCCAAACUUGAUGUUUUUUAUGGUUUUUUUGUUGGAAGUUGGAAAGCAAUAAACUUAAACUAAAGUGAAGAAAAAUUCAAUGAA